rnacentral:rRNA from 1 species
AACGAACGCUGGCGGCAGGCUUAACACAUGCAAGUCGAGCGCCCCGCAAGGGGAGCGGCAGACGGGUGAGUAACGCGUGGGAAUCUACCCAUCCCUACGGAAUAGCUCCGGGAAACUGGAAUUAAUACCGUAUACGCCCUACGGGGGAAAGAUUUAUCGGGGAUGGAUGAGCCCGCGUUGGAUUAGCUAGUUGGUGGGGUAAAGGCCUACCAAGGCGACGAUCCAUAGCUGGUCUGAGAGGAUGAUCAGCCACAUUGGGACUGAGACACGGCCCAAACUCCUACGGGAGGCAGCAGUGGGGAAUAUUGGACAAUGGGGGCAACCCUGAUCCAGCCAUGCCGCGUGAGUGAUGAAGGCCUUAGGGUUGUAAACUUCUUUUAUAAGUGAGGAAUAUGACGGUAACUUAUGAAUAAGGGUCGGCUAACUACGUGCCAGCCGCCGCCGUAA